rnacentral:rRNA from 1 species
CCCGCUGAACUUAAGCAUAUCAAUAAGCGGAGGAAAAGAAACCAACAGGGAUUGCCUCAGUAACGGCGAGUGAAGUGGCAACAGCUCAAAUUUGAAAUCUGGUCCCUUUCGGGGCUCGAGUUGUAAUUUGUAGAGGAUGUCUUCGGGUUUGGCCCUGGCCUAAGUUCCUUGGAACAGGACGUCACAGAGGGUGAGAAUCCCGUAUGUGGCUGGUGGUCUAUGCCCAUGUGAAGCUCCUUCGACGAGUCGAGUUGUUUGGGAAUGCAGCUCAAAAUGGGUGGUAAGUUUCAUCUAAAGCUAAAUACUGGCGGGAGACCGAUAGCGCACAAGUAGAGUGAUCGAAAGAUGAAAAGCACUUUGGAAAGAGAGUUAAAAAGUACGUGAAAUUGUUGAAAGGGAAGCGCUUGCGACCAGACUUGCCCUCGGUUGAUCAACCUGGUGUUCUUCACCGGUGCACUCUGCUGAGGUCAGGCCAGCAUCGGUUUGGGCGGUUGGAGAAAGGCCGUGGGAAUGUGACUUCCUUUGGGGAGUGUUAUAGCCCUCGGUGUCAUGCAACCAGCCUGGACUGAGGACCGCGCCUUUACUGGCUAGGAUGCUGGCAUAAUGGUCGUAAGCGACCCGUCUUGAAACACGG